UGGGGAAUAUUGGACAAUGGGGGCAACCCUGAUCCAGCCAUGCCGCGUGUGUGAAGAAGGCCUUUUGGUUGUAAAGCACUUUAAGCAGUGAAGAAGACUCCAUGGUUAAUACCCAUGGACGAUGACAUUAGCUGCAGAAUAAGCACCGGCUAACUCUGUGCCAGCAGCCGCGGUAAUACAGAGGGUGCAAGCGUUAAUCGGAAUUACUGGGCGUAAAGCGAGCGUAGGUGGCUUGAUAAGUCAGAUGUGAAAGCCCCGGGCUUAACCUGGGAACGGCAUCUGAUACUGUUAGGCUAGAGUAGGUGAGAGGAAGGUAGAAUUCCAGGUGUAGCGGUGAAAUGCGUAGAGAUCUGGAGGAAUACCGAUGGCGAAGGCAGCCUUCUGGCAUCAUACUGGCACUGAGGUUCGAAAGCGUGGGUAGCAAACA
rnacentral:rRNA from 1 species